GCUUGUCUCAAAGAUUAAGCCAUGCAUGUCUAAGUAUAAACUGCUUUAUACUGUGAAACUGCGAAUGGCUCAUUAAAUCAGUUAUCGUUUAUUUGAUGAUCUCUUACUACUUGGAUAACCGUAGUAAUUCUAGAGCUAAUACAUGCAUCAAACCCCGACUCACGAAGGGGUGUAUUUAUUAGAUGGAAACCAAUGCGGGGCAACCCGGUAUAUGGUGAUUCAUAAUAACUUUCGGAUCGAUCUUCGGAUCGAUGCAUCAUUCAAGUUUCUGCCCUAUCAGCUUUGGAUGGUAGGGUAUUGGCCUACCAUGGCUUUAACGGGUAACGGAGAAUUAGGGUUCGAUUCCGGAGAGGGAGCCUGAGAAAUGGCUACCACAUCCAAGGAAGGCAGCAGG
rnacentral:rRNA from 1 species